AGGGAGCGGCGGACGGCUGAGUAGCGCGUGGGUGACCUGCCCCGGAGUGGGGGAUAACGUCCCGAAAGGGAUGCUAAUCCCGCAUACGCCCGUCGGAGGACGGUGAAAGCCGCAAGGCGCUCUGGGUGGGGCCUGCGUCCCAUUAGCUUGUUGGCGGGGUAAUGGCCCACCAAGGCUUUGAUGGGUGGCUGGUCUGAGAGGACGACCAGCCAGACUGGGACUGAGACACGGCCCAG
rnacentral:rRNA from 1 species